rnacentral:rRNA from 1 species
ACUUUUAGCAACGGAUCUCUUGGCUCUCGCAUCGAUGAAGAACGCAGCGAAAUGCGAUAAGUAAUGUGAAUUGCAGAAUUCAGUGAAUCAUCGAAUCUUUGAACGCACCUUGCGCUCCUUGGUAUUCCGAGGAGCAUGCCUGUUUGAGUGUCAUGG